rnacentral:rRNA from 1 species
GACGAACGCUGGCGGCGUGCCUAACACAUGCAAGUCGAACGGAGCGAAUGAAAGCUUGCUUUUAUAAGCUUAGUGGCAAACGGGUGAGUAACACGUAGACAACCUGCCGACAGGAUGGGGACAACAUUCCGAAAGGAAUGCUAAUACCGAAUGAAGUCAGAGAAGGGCAUCCUUUUCUGAUGAAAGAUGGCCUCUAUAUAUAAGCUAUCACCUGUUGAUGGGUCUGCGUCUGAUUAGCUGGUAGGUGAGGUAACGGCUCACCUAGGCGACGAUCAGUAGCCGGUCUGAGAGGAUGAACGGCCACAUUGGGACUGAGACACGGCCCAGACUCCUACGGGAGGCAGCAGUGGGGAAUCUUCCGCAAUGGGCGCAAGCCUGACGGAGCAACGCCGCGUGAGUGAAGAAGGUCUUCGGAUCGUAAAGCUCUGUUGAUGGGGACGAACGUGCCUAAUGCGAAUAGUAUUAGGU